ACGGCUCAGUAACACGUGGAUAACCUGCCCNUNGGGUCCGGCAUAACCCCGGGAAACUGGGGAUAAUUCCGGAUAACGCACAUAUGCUGGAAUGCUUUAUGCGUCAAAUGGAUUCGUCCGCCCAAGGAUGGGUCUGCGGCCUAUCAGGUAGUAGUGGGUGUAAUGUACCUACUAGCCUACGACGGGUACGGGUUGUGAGAGCAAGAGCCCGGAGAUGGAUUCUGAGACAUGAAUCCAGGCCCUACGGGGCGCAGCAGGCGCGAAAACUUUACAAUGCGGGAAACCGUGAUAAGGGGACACCGAGUGCCAGCAUCCUAUGCUGGCUGUCCGGGUGUGUAAAAUACACCUGUUAGCAAGGGCCGGGCAAGACCGGUGCCAGCCGCCGCGGUAACACCGGCGGCCCGAGUGGUGAUCGUGAUUAUUGGGUCUAAAGGGUCCGUAGCCGGUUUGGUCAGUCCUCCGGGAAAUCUGACGGCUCAACCGUUAGGCUUUCGGGGGAUACUGCCAGACUUGGAACCGGGAGAGGUAAGAGGUACUACAGGGGUAGGAGUGAAAUCUUGUAAUCCCUGUGGGACCACCUGUGGCGAAGGCGUCUUACCAGAACGGGUUCGACGGUGAGGGACGAAAGCUGGGGGCACGAACCGGAUUAGAUACCCGGGUAGUCCCAGCCGUAAACGAUGCUCGCUAGGUGUCAGGCAUGGCGCGACCGUGUCUGGUGCCGCAGGGAAGCCGUGAAGCGAGCCACCUGGGAAGUACGGCCGCAAGGCUGAAACUUAAAGGAAUUGGCGGGGGAGCAC
rnacentral:rRNA from 1 species